UGGGGAAUUUUGGACAAUGGGCGAAAGCCUGAUCCAGCCAUGCCGCGUGAGUGAAGGAGGCCUUCGGGUUGUAAAGCUCUUUUAGUCGGAAAGAAAGAGUUGCAAUGAAUAAUUGUGAUUUAUGACGGUACCGACAGAAAAAGCACCGGCUAACUACGUGCCAGCAGCCGCGGUAAUACGUAGGGUGCGAGCGUUAAUCGGAAUUACUGGGCGUAAAGGGUGCGCAGGCGGUCUUGCAAGUCAGUUGUGAAAGUCCCGGGCUUAACCUGGGAAUUGCGUUUGAAACUACAAGGCUAGAGUGCAGCAGAGGGGAGUGGAAUUCCAUGUGUAGCAGUGAAAUGCGUAGAGAUGUGGAAGAACACCGAUGGCGAAGGCAGCUCCCUGGGUUGAAACUGACGCUCAUGCACGAAAGCGUGGGGAGCAAACA
rnacentral:rRNA from 1 species